rnacentral:tRNA from 1 species
UAAAGUGUGGCUCAGUGGUAGAGCACUUGUCUAGCUAGCAUGGUGAUCCUUGAAAAUCUGGGUUCAAUCCCAAUCACUGCAA